UCCCUGGUGGUCCAGAGGUUGGGACUUUGCACUUUCACUGCUUAGGGUGUGGGUUCAAGCCCUGGUUGGGGAA
rnacentral:tRNA from 1 species